AAUGAAGGAGGGAAGAGUCACUUGGUGACUGAGUAUUCUGUGACAUAUUUUGUGGGAAUGAAGUGGUCAGUGAAGGAGAGAGGAGUUAUCUGGUGACUGGGAAGAUGGAAAUUAAACAUUGAGAACUCAGGUAUUCUGACAAGUUUUUUGAGUGAGCAUCAUCUGGACAACUAGGUCUUCAUCAUGGGAAGAUCUAGAUUAUCAGAGAGCCUUGAUCAUUGAAGAAACAACAAAUGAUAAGUGUGGCUGUUAUGCAAAGAGAGAAGCAGGAAGGACCAGAGGAUGCAGCAAGAAGGAUUCAUUUUGGAAGCAGAUAGCAGUCCUCACCAGAAAAUCCAAUCUGAUGGCAUCUUGAUCUUGACUUCCUACCCUCCAGAACUCUGAAAAGGCUGUAGAUCAUGGGAUUUAAUAAAGGAACUAUGACAGUGUAAAAUAGAGACUCCAUCAUAUCUUGGUCAUCAGCCCGUUGGGAUGCAGAGCCCUUGGUGACUGGCAAGAUGGACAUUAAACAUUGAGAACUCAGGUGUGCUGACAAGUUUUUGGAGUGAGCAUCAUCUGGACAACUAGGUCUUCAUCAUGGGAAGACCUAGAUUAUCAGAGAGCCUUCAUCAUUGCAGAAACAAUAAGUGGUAAAUGUGGCUGGUAUGAAAAGUGAGAAGCAGGGAAGGACCAGGUGUGUUCAAGGAGGCCAGCGUGGGGAGGCUCUCAAGGAGACUCAGAAUGAGAUCCAAUCAGCAAUAUGAGCCUGUUAGAGCUUAAUAGAAAUAAUUACUUGGAAUUAUUGUGAUAGUCAAAGGCACAGUUAAAAAUGAUCCAUUGGAGAGUAACAAAGAAACAAAAAGAGUGACAAGAAAGUCAACUGGAGCAAGUUAUAUUGAAGAAGUAACAAAGUGGACAUAUGUCUUGAAACACACUGAUCCUACAUUUGGAAUAUGGAGACACAGAAAGGUUUUGGUUUCAAAGGUAGCCAAGGCAGAAUUACCAGGACCCUACUUAAAGGUUUCACUGUGAGGAAACCAACCUUAAAGAAAAAACUCUCCCUUAAACUGAUAUCAAGCCAUUGUCAAGUGCAUUGUUUUAUCUCUUUAAUGUCUCACGAAACCAUCAACUUCUCUCCAAAUUCAAGAAAACCAUCACCUGUCUGGAAUACUUAAAUGACCUUUUAAUAAUCCAAAUGUGUUUUUCUAACAUGUCCUCCUGCUAAUCUCUACAUUUGAGCCAAUGUCAUCUUGGCAAAAUGCCAGAUUGCUGAUGUCACUACUGCUCAGACCCAUCACAGCAUCUCCACUUAAACUCUCAAACAGCUUCGAAUGACUCUUAUAAGGAAAAUCAAAAGCCUUAGGCCCUCAUAUUCAAUAAUAUUCUACACAA
rnacentral:lncRNA from 1 species